GACGAACGCUGGCGGCGUGCUUAACACAUGCAAGUCGAACGGUGAAAGCGGAGCUUGCUCCGCUGGAUCAGUGGCGAACGGGUGAGUAACACGUGGGCAACCUGCCCUUCACUUCGGGAUAACUCCGGGAAACCGGGGCUAAUACCGGAUAUGACCUCUGCGGGCAUCCGCGGCGGUGGAAAGUUUUUCGGUGGGGGAUGUGCUCGCGGCCUAUCAGCUUGUUGGUGGGGUAAUGGCCUACCACGGCUUCGACGGGUAGCCGGCCUGAGAGGGUGACCGGCCACACUGGGACUGAGACACGGCCCGGACUCCUACGGGAGGCAGCGGUGGGGAAUAUUGGACAAUGGGCGGAAGCCUGAUCCAGCAACGCCGCGUGAGGGAUGACGGCCUUCGGGUUGUAAACCUCUUUCAGUAGGAACGAAGCGCAAGUGACGGUACCUACAGAAGAAGCACCGGCCAACUACGUGCCAGCCGCCGCCGUAA
rnacentral:rRNA from 1 species